UACGCAGGGGGCGAGCGUUGUCCGGAUUUAUUGGGCGUAAAGAGCGUGUAGGCGGCCAGGUAGGUCCGUUGUGAAAACUCGAGGCUCAACCUCGAGACGUCGAUGGAAACCAUCUGCUAGAGUCCGGAAGAGGAGAGUGGAAUUCCUGGUGUAGCGGUGAAAUGCGCAGAUAUCAGGAAGAACACCUAUGGCGAAGGCAGCUCUCUGGGACGGUACUGACGCUGAGACGCGAAAGCGUGGGGAGCGAACAGG
rnacentral:rRNA from 1 species